UCAUUGAGGAGGCCAGGUGCAGUGGCUCACACCUAUAAUCCCAGCAUUUUGGGAGGCCGAGUCAGGAGGAUUGUUUGAACCCAGGGGUUCAAGACCAGCCUGGGUAACAUUGUGAAACCCUGUUUCUACUAAAAAAAUUAAAAAAUAAAACACAAAAAUUAGCCAGGAGUGAUGGUGCAUGCCUGUAGUUCUAGCUACUCAAGAGGCUGAGUUGAGAGUAUCACCUGAUCCCAGGAGGCAGAGGUUGCAGUGAGCUGAGAUUGUGCUGUUGCGCUCCAGUGUGGGUGUCAGAGUGAGACCCUGUCUCAAAAAAACAAAAAAGAACUGAGCAAGGAGAAUGCUUUUUCUGGAUUGGUUCAAUUGAUGUUUUGGCCCUAAAGUCAGGAGUACCCUUCUAGGAAGAAACUGCCUUUUAAGUUAUUUUUAUGUUGAACAAUGACCCUGGCAACCCAGAAUGCCAUGAGUUCAACAACAGAUGCUUCAAAGUGGUCUACUUUCUCCCAAACACAACAUCUCUAAUUCAGCCUCUUGAUAGGGAGGUCACAAAGAUCUUUAAGGCACAUUACACAUGGAACUCUAUGGAUAAGAUUUGUCUGUACAUUUUAAGCUAAUGGACAACUCUAGAUUUUGUGAUUCUGUGUGUCACAUGUAGUCUUGAGAGAUUAAUACGCUUUUUUUUUUUAACAAAACAAAGUGAAAAAUCAGAGUAAUGAUACAGAUCAGUGGUUGAAGGAGAAAGAUGAAACUGGAGGAGGCAGAGAUAAAUUAGUAACAGAACCACCUGCAGAGCUUUUCCAAACGAUUUACAUCCCUGGGCUUUUCCCCUUCUGAUUUUGAUUCAAAAAAUUUUGGAUGGGCUUAAUGAGAGAUAUUUUGAGAAAAUAAUUCUGACAUUUUCCUUCCUCCUUCAAUUUAAGUAAUAACCACUGAUCCAGAUGAUGAUAAUGAUGAUGAUAAUAGUAACAAUAAUAAUAAAAUAAUAAAAUCUGAUUGAUAUAAAUAAUUCUUCUGCCUUUAUUUAUUCAGAUGAAUUUGCAACAACACUUUUCAAGUUAGCAUAUCAUAAAAUAAUAUCCCAAGGGAUGUAAAUACAACUACCUCAAAAAUAGAUAUGGAGAUAAAGUAUCAUAUUUAAAGCAAUUUUUUGUAAUGUACAUUAAAUUAACUAGUUUCUUUUUAGUACUAAUUCUCAGAGCUUUUAAUAUGCCAAUGCAUAUUGUGAUUCUAACAGAGAAAUAACAAUAUGCACCAAUAUUACUUGAUCAGAACAUAUAUUUUAUUUUCCCUUACCCCCACCAGUAUUGUCUUUCAAAAUAAUGUACAUUGUGAUAGUUUGGACAUGUACUUAACACUGUAUAUAACUUAUAUUGAUUCAGCACAUUUAUACUUAUGUAAGUAAUACGGUGGUUCCUCAGUAUCUGAGGGGGAUUGGUUUCAGGACCUCUGCAGAUACCAAAAUCCACAGGUGUUCUAGUCCUUUGUAUAAAAUAGCCUAUUACUUGCACAUAACCUGUGCACACAUCCUCCUGUAUAUUUGAUAUUAUCUCUAGAUUACUUAUAAUACCUGAUACAAUUUAAAUGCUAUGUAAAUAGUUCCUAUAGUAUUAGUAUUUUUGUGUUAUCUUUUUUACUGUUGUAUUGCUAUUUUUUAUUUUUUAAAAAAUAUUUUUAAUCCAUGGAUGCAAAAGUCAUGGCUACAGAGGGCUGACUGUACUUGUAUAAGAGCACUAUACUUAUCAGUACGGAAUACUUAUACAAGCAUAUACUUAUAUUGAGUUAUGCAGUGUCUUGCUUUCCAGAAUUUGAAAAUAAGGCCACUGUAUUUAUACCUUUGUAGUAUGGACAAUUUUGUAAGCCCUCAGUGAUAGUUGUCUUGUGUUUCAGGAAGGUUCUAAUGUUUGAAUGGAAAAAACAGGAGUAGUUUUAGAAAUUAUUAUCUUUUAAACAGUUUGGACAAUAUGAGGAAAGAGAGUGGUAAGAAAGUGAUAAUUGUAACAGAAACAAGCAAUUAUUAAAUGACUGCAAAGUAUUGGUCAUCCUGAGUUGGUUUCUCUGACAUGUGUAGACAAAUUAUGUAGCCCAUCUCUGGCCACAAGGUAAGACUUUAUAUUACAUAUUUGGUUUACUAAUUUACUACAGCUUUAUCUGAAUAGCUGUACAUUUCUCUGAAUAAUUUCACAUUUGUAACUGAGAUAGAGGAACUUAACCAGAAGAGAUGGAGACGACGGUGCUUGUGAGUUAGGUGGAAGGCUAACUGAGAAGCUGAGAGAGGAGGAAGAAUGGAAAAAUCACCAUUUGGUAUGAAACAUGGAGACAGAGAUAGCCCGUGACUUUGACCGGGCCACCUCAGUCAUUGUGUAGGACAAAAGUCAGAUUGGAAUGUAAAGAGGCAGUGGAAACGUCAAUAUGACAACUCUGUUCUCUUACUUCUAAAAUUCUCUUUUAAUUACCUCUGUCAGUGAACAUGAUUCAGUAAAAGUAAUUAUGUGGGGAUUUUGGCGGAAGGGGCCAACAAAAUGUUAGAACCACCAUAAUGUGGAGGACAAAGCACUCAGCAUUCUGGUUUACUCCGAGGACUGUUUAAAAGUACAAAAUGAUUGGACUUGGUGGUGCACACCUGUAGUCUCAACUACUCUGGAGACAGAGGUGGGAGGGUUGCUUGAGCACACGAGUGUGCUUCUAGCCUGGACAACAUAGUCAGACACUGUCUCCAAAAAAAAAAAAAUACAACUUUUUAAAAUAACAAAAUAGACUAUGUUUUCAGGUAACAUUCCAUAAGUACUAUUCAUUAGAAAAAAUACGUAUGCCAGAAUACUGAGUGAAUUACAAUAAACUGAAAAUUUCCCUGUGCUCUUUCCUUUAUCCUUGAGUAGAAUGAAAUCUACCAUCUAACAGAUUCCUGCUGUGACUUUUUAUAUUGGUAUGGAGAGCCGAUUCUUAGGGUAUUCCUUGCCAAGAUGGAGUAAUGGUUCUAAAACCUAAUAGGAGACUCCUGAUUUAAAAGAAUUUAUAAUGUGUAAAUAUGAAAAAAGAGAGUAUUCAUUCAAAACCAAGACUCCCAUGUGUAGAGUAAAAAGUGGAAACAUACUUUAAUUACAGUGGGGCUGAGAGAGAGCAGGAAUUACAAGAAUGGAACUGAGUAAGUCUUUGGAUAAACUUCCUGAAAUGUACGGAUUUUAGCUACCUUUUUAAAAAAAAGAAGCUACUCAAGUGCAUGUGAGACUUAGAUUCACUACAUCUUGGGCCAAGAAAAAACUUUAAAGGUAUGGAUGUAGCAGCGGGGCAAGCGUUUUGCAUAAAGAAUAGCAAACUGAUGAGAAUUGCUGCUAUGAGGCAUUGUAGAGGAGAUAAAUAGGAAUUAAUUUGGAGAUCUCUCUAAGAGUGUGAAUAUUUGUAACAAUAGCAAAAGUUUAGUUCUUCGACAUGUGGAGCAUGUUCAUAUGUAUCGCCUGAUGCGAUACACAAAAUCUUCUGAGACAGAAGUAUGACUACCAUUUCAUUGUAGAGAUGAAAGCACCAACAUGCUUCCCUCUUCUGCAAAAUGAAAAUAAUAUAGUACCUAUCUCCCUGAGCUGCUGUAAAAAUUAAAUUAGAUUAUGCAUGUGAACAACUUAUCAGAGAGCUUGGCACAUUUCAGGUGUUCACCGAAUACUUCUGAUACUAAAAAGAAAAAUAAAGGAAGUUAAACAUACCAUUCUAUGAAUACAUAGCUAUAAAGUAACAAGACUGUAUUAAAGCUUUCAGACUCCACAUUGAU
rnacentral:lncRNA from 1 species